rnacentral:rRNA from 1 species
AGCGAACGCUGGCGGCAGGCCUAACACAUGCAAGUCGAACGAACUCUUCGGAGUUAGUGGCGGACGGGUGAGUAACACGUGGGAACGUGCCUUUUGGUUCGGAAUAACUCAGGGAAACUUGUGCUAAUACCGAAUGUGCCCUUCGGGGGAAAGAUUUAUCGCCAUUAGAGCGGCCGGCGUCUGAUUAGCUAGUUGGUGAGGUAACGGCUCACCAAGGCGACGAUCAGUAGCUGGUCUGAGAGGAUGACCAGCCACACUGGGACUGAGACACGGCCCAGACUCCUACGGGAGGCAGCAGUGGGGAACCUUGCGGAAUGGGCGAAAGCCUGACGCAGCCAUGCCGCGUGAAUGAUGAAGGUCUUAGGAUUGUAAAAUUCUUUCACCGGGGACGAUAAUGACGGUACCCGGAGAAGAAGCCCCGGCUAACUUCGUG